UUUAACUGGGAAGGCAGAAAACCAAGUUAUACAUUUGGAUUUAAACACUAAACAUAAAACAUAAGCAAGCAAAGUUAUAAAAGUGUACCUCACACACCACGAAUUCUGACUGGCUUGGGGGAGGACAACUGCUCAACAAGCACAGAUCCAGUGAAAGAGCCAACUGACAUCUGCUGGAAGACUGCCAGGUAUUAUACAGAGGGCCCUGCCCAAACAUAUGGUUAUACAAACCUUAAAAAGAUGAAUGCCAUCAUUACACAUUGCUGAAGGCUAAUGAUACCCAGCCAAGAGGACCCAGAGCUUCAAGUAUAACUGAUAUGUUUUUUAGUGAAAGAAAAGGGGCAAAAAGAUUAUUUGGAAAAGUUUCUCACUGGUGUAAGAUUAAGCACAAUACCACAAAACGACUGACAGUGACAAGUGUAAUGGCAGGGCUGUUAUAUUGCUCUCACACUACUGUUAUUGUUCAGCAGGUGUCAGGCAGCUGUGUUCUGCUCUUGCCUCAAAGCGUCUUUCCAGUUGCCUUGAAGGACCAUACAACCCGGUCAAGAAGAAAUGAGUUUUCAACAGGAUACAAUAUAAUUUCCUACAUAUGAAAGGAUUUUAAAUUACAGGUUAAUAGUAUAUAGGACCAAACCAAAGCUCCUGAAUCCAGUGCCUUAAAGAUGCUACUUCGUAAUAUUUAUAAUAUCAUUAUCCUUGUAUCAUUACAUUAAUUGUGUUGACUUCAUUAUAUUAUAUGGACAAGAAAGAGGAAAUUGGAGUCCUUACUGGGUAAUCGCUUUGGUUUCCUUGCAGAGCCGGCUGACCGAGGCCUCGGAAGUGUGACGGAUACGUAUGGUGUGUAGUGAUAAGGAGGAGUGACGUGUGACAGGUGUCUGAGACAAAUGCGAUACCCAAGAAGAGAGACUAAACUGUCGUCUACAGGGGAUCAGCUUUCACAGCGGGACAGAACCAAGUCAUGUCCUUCGGAGCAACUGCUGCCGGC